GAGUUGUUGCUUCCACAUGAUUCAUUUUAUUUGUGACAAUCACCAGAGCUCGACCAUUUUUACCUUCAUCAGAAGCCAUUUAUUUGGGCUAAUAACUUCUUCUUCUCAAGUUUUCAGCAGAACAAAGCUUGAUAAUUUCUGUCAGCAAUGGCGGCGUCUUCAGCUAUAGCUUUAAGUUCUACAGUUUUCAUCAACAAGAAAGAUGUGGGUCUAUCUUCUUUCUCUUCGCAAUCUUCAUUUUCCGUUCAAACUGUUCGGAAAAGGAUUUCCAAGAAAAUCGUUUCUGUGAUGACACCACAACAGACUGAAAGAAAACCUUCCACAACUGGAUCAGUAAAGACUGGGAUGACUAUGACUGAGAAGAUAUUAGCUAAGGCUUCUGAUAAGCCUGAAGUGAGCCCCGGUGAUAAUGUUUGGGUCAGUGUUGAUGUUCUGAUGACCCAUGAUGUUUGUGGCCCUGGUUCUAUUGGAAUUUUCAAGAAAGAGUUUGGGCAGAAUGCUAAGGUCUGGGAUAGUGAAAAGCUUGUCAUUAUACCUGAUCAUUACAUAUUCACAACUGAUGAACGAGCAAACCGAAACGUGGAUAUCUUGAGGGAUUUCUGCAAUGAACAGAAUAUUAAAUACUUCUAUGACAUUAAAGAUCUGGGGAACUUCCGUGCUAAUCCUAAUUACAAAGGUGUCUGCCACGUUGCUCUUGCAGAAGGUCACUGCAGACCUGGAGAGGUUUUGGUGGGUACAGACUCCCACACAUGUACUGCUGGAGCUUUCGGGCUAUUCGCCACUGGGAUUGGCAAUACUGAUGCAGGUUUUGUGUUGGGUACUGGCAAGAUUCUGCUCAAGGUGCCUCCAACUUUGAGAUUUGUAAUGGAUGGUGAAAUGCCCUAUUACUUGCUUGCUAAGGACUUAAUUUUGCAAAGUAUUGGUGAAAUUUCAGUGGCUGGUGCUACUUAUAAAGCAAUGGAGUUUGUUGGCACGACAGUUGAAAGCUUGAUUAUGGAAGAAAGAAUGACAUUAUGCAGUAUGGUUAUUGAAGCUGGUGGAAAAAAUGGUGUCAUCCGAGCUGAUAAAACGACUAUGACUAUCUUGAGGGAAGGACUUCUGUGCCCUAUGAACCUGUUUAUAGUGAUGAAGGAGCCAGAUAUAUUAAGGAGUACAGAUUCGAUGUUUCCAAGUUGGAGCCCUUAGUGGCUAAGCAUCAUUCUCCUGAUAAUCGUGCUUUGGCAAGAGAAUGCAAAGAUGUCAAAAUCGAUAGAGUAUAUAUUGGAUCUUGUACUGGUGGAAAAACAGAGGACUUCAUGGCUGCUGCAAAAGUUUUUCUAGCUUCUGGAAAGAAGGUAAAGGUUCCAACUUUCCUUGUUCCUGCUACCCAAAAGGUAUGGAUGGACAUUUAUAGCCUCCCUGUUCCAGGAUCAGGCGGCAAAACAUGUUCCCAGAUUUUUGAGGAGGCUGGCUGUGAUACACCUGCAAGUCCUAGUUGUGGUGCUUGUUUGGGUGGACCUAAAGACACGUAUGCACGCAUGAAUGAAGCUCAGGUGUGUGUAUCAACCACGAACAGGAACUUCCCUGGUCGAAUGGGGCACAAGGAAGGCCAGAUCUAUCUUGCAUCCCCAUAUACAGCUGCAGCAUCAGCAUUGACUGGUUAUGUCACUGAUCCUCGAGAGUUUUUGCACUGAAGUUGCUCCAUGACCUCGUUUUAGGAGUUGGGAUUGUGUUGUACACUAAAAGGUCAUUUGGUAGAGUGUAUAAAAAUAAUGCUAAAUAGAGUGUAUUAGUAAUGCUUGCAUUAGUUAGGAAUUGGGAUGGUGUUGUACACUGAGGGAUCGUUUGGUAGAGUGUAUAGAAAUAAUGCUAAAUAGAGUGUAUUAGUUAUGCUUGCAUUAAUUAUAGAUAGAAUAUUUCUUAUGCAUUGUUUGGUUCAGUGUAUUUAAAAUAGCAUGCACUGCAUAAAAAUAUUUAUUUACAAAAAUAUCCUCAACAAUUUUGGUGGAAAAGAUGCAAAAAAGAUUU